AUGAUUGUUUUGUGCUUAAACUGCUUUAUCUUGUGAAAUAUGUUACUUGCUCGUACUUUGAUGAUUUUUACAGAAAUAUGGAGUGCGAAUUUGGACCAAUGCUCUUAAUGAAAGUUGUAGAUCGUCUCGAUACGAGUUCGUAGGCGCAAAAGGUUCGCAAAUCCGAGUUCGAACGAGGAAGAUAUGGCCGAAACAAGAAGGUCGCGCGCAGCAGUGAAUAGUGCCCGACGGGAAU
rnacentral:lncRNA from 1 species